UACGGAGGAUCCAAGCGUUAUCCGGAAUCAUUGGGUUUAAAGGGUCCGUAGGCGGUCUUAUAAGUCAGUGGUGAAAUCUCCCCGCUCAACGGUGGAACGGCCAUUGAUACUGCAAGACUUGAAUUAUUAGGAAGUAACUAGAAUAUGUAGUGUAGCGGUGAAAUGCUUAGAGAUUACAUGGAAUACCAAUUGCGAAGGCAGGUUACUACUAAUUGAUUGACGCUGAUGGACGAAAGCGUGGGGAACGAACAGG
rnacentral:rRNA from 1 species